CCUACGGGUGGCAGCAGUGAGGAAUAUUGGUCAAUGGCCGGAAGGCUGAACCAGCCAAGCCGCGUGAAGGACGAAGGUGCCAAGCAUUGUAAACUUCUUUUGUCAAGGGACAAAAUCAGGCUCGAGAGCCUGACCGAGGGUACUUGAAGAAAAAGCAUCGGCUAACUCCGUGCCAGCAGCCGCGGUAAUACGGAGGAUGCGAGCGUUAUCCGGAUUUAUGGGGUUUAAAGGGUGCGUAGGCGGACUGUUAAGUCAGCGGUAAAAGCCCGGGGCUCACCCCCGGCGAGCAGUUGAGACUGGCUGUCUUGAGAUGUCGAGAGGUAUGCGGAAUGCGCCGUGUAGCGGUGAAAUGCUUAGAUAUUGCGCAGAACUCCGAUUGCGAAGGCAGCAUACCGGCGGCGAUCUGACGCUGAGGCACGAAAGCGUGGGUAUCGAACAGGAUUAGAUACCCCAGUAGUC
rnacentral:rRNA from 1 species